CUCACGCACGCACUCACGCAGAGCCCGUUAUCCUGCGCGCUCCGCGUUGUUCCUGGGGAGCUCAGCUGGUCGCGUGCUCCCAUUAGCGCGAUCGUCGGGUGUGGCGAGGCGAACAGGUCAGCCGGGUGACGGCUACGGCGACUGGCGAGCGCGUCCAAGACGGCGCAUAGUGGCACAUAAGUCAUGCUGAAUUACAGUUCCCGGGAAGCCCAGGAUCUGGGGAAGCAUGAGCAGGGGCUGAGCAUGACCUUGUCAAUGAAGAAGACGAGCAAGUGGGGAGACAAGGCCGAAGUGGAUGGCGCGCCAUGGAAGAGGAUCCCCAGGCCAGAGCUUGGUGCAGGAGAUACAAAGACUUGGAAGUUGGAACCAAGGAAUAAUGUGGGAAAUAUGACAAAGUUGGAGAAUGUAUAAUGUUUGAAGUAAGAGGGUUAUCUUUUGUUUGUAAACCAAGUUGUAACUGACAAAUUACAGAUCAUUUCCUAUCGUGGCGA